rnacentral:pre_miRNA from 1 species
UCCUUAACUCAUGCCGCUGUGCAUUCUCUUCUUUCGCAACAGGGUGGGUUGAGUACA